UACAGAGGUCUCAAGCGUUGUUCGGAUUCACUGGGCGUAAAGGGUGCGUAGGUGGUGGGGUAAGUCGGAUGUGAAAGCUCGGAGCUCAACUCCGAAAUGGCAUUGGAAACUACCCUGCUGGAGGUUUGGAGGGGGGACUGGAAUACUUGGUGUAGCAGUGAAAUGCGUAGAUAUCAAGUGGAACACCAGUGGCGAAGGCGAGUCCCUGGACAAAACCUGACACUGAGGCACGAAAGCUAGGGGAGCAAACAGG
rnacentral:rRNA from 1 species